rnacentral:rRNA from 1 species
AUUGAACGCUGGCGGAAUGCUUUACACAUGCAAGUCGAGCGGCAGCGCGGGGGCAACCCUGGCGGCGAGCGGCGAACGGGUGAGUAAUGUAUCGGAACGUACCCAGUCGUGGGGGAUAACUAUCCGAAAGGAUAGCUAAUACCGCAUACGACCUGAGGGUGAAAGCGGGGGACCGUAAGGCCUCGCGCGAUUGGAGCGGCCGAUAUCGGAUUAGCUAGUUGGUGAGGUAAAGGCUCACCAAGGCGACGAUCCGUAGCUGGUCUGAGAGGACGACCAGCCACACUGGAACUGAGACACGGUCCAGACUCCUACGGGAGGCAGCAGUGGGGAAUUUUGGACAAUGGGGGCAACCCUGAUCCAGCCAUUCCGCGUGAGUG